AAUUAUCAAAACCAUUUCUUCAAAAACAAAGUUGUGAAAAAUAAAUAUGAUAGCAGUUGUAAAAUAAAAAACUAGUUUUUCAAUCAAAUUUUUGCAAAAACUUUAUUUUAAAAAUUCAAAAGGUGAAUUUUGGUGUGUAAACAUUGUAUAAUAUAGGCAUUCAUUGUUAUUUAUUUCAUAACUCAUUAAAACUAUUUCUCAAUCCACUAUGUCGACAUCGUCAUCCUCUCGCGCUGCCCCCUCGGCUGAUGAGUCCGACUAUGUCACUGUUGUCCCUUGACGUGAUUCCCCGCCUCUGUGGAAGAAGACCCCUCGGAAGACACGAAAGACACGGGAGACUCGGUGGAGAUUAGUAGCGACAACGCCCUGAGUCAGCAACGCGAGACAUAGCUUGCAUCGGUGUUUUGUAUCCGACACACUGCGAGGAAGAACGUCUCUAGACCCGUAGGAAUGUUAUCCGAUGGAGCAGGACCUAGUAGGGUAGGACCUAGCAUGGCAGGACCGAGAGCACCCCCACCACAUCGAGUAAUUGAGAUACCUAUCAGGCAGGUAGAUAUAACCUUAGAGGAGUCUCGAAGAAUGCAAUGGAUGGCAGCGGACCUACGUCAGAGUCUCACAGUGAUAGCUGGGCAUCAGCAGGUUUUGGAUGUAGUGACGACAUGAAUGGGCAUCCUAUUUCACUACGAGAAUACAAAGCUAAGGCGACGACAGCUAUCCCGACGCCGGUAAUCGUCGCUACAAGUCAACCUAUGCCGACGACAAGUCGUCGCCAUAGGUCUCGCGGGAACGUCGAAAAUGUUGGCGGUAAUAUGAAAAUAUAUACCGAUGACGUGUCGUCGGUAUAGGUAAUAAAAAAAGGAUUUUUCAUUUAUUUUUAUUCCAAGUGCCAGAAAAAGAAAACGACGUAGUUUUUGAACACCCUAUCCCGGUGACAAGUCGUCGGCACAGGGUUUUUAAUUUACAUUUAUAUUUUUAUUCGAGGAUUAAAUGAUACGUCGUCGUUUAUGUCGACCCUAUGCCGACGACAUGUCGUCGGCAUAGGGGUAUACCCUAAUUCAGUGAAUUCAAAUUAGAAUUGCCUGAAAAUGAUUUCAAAAAGGAAUUUCCUUCAUGGUUUAAACAAAAGGUAAGUAUGUUAUAUAUUUAUAAUGUAAAACUAAGUUAUUGCUUAAACAUAUAAUCUUAUAUUUCCUUAUAGAUUUAUUGUCUCCAAAAAGAUGUGCCUACGGACUGUACUGACGAAUUAAAGGCGUUGGCAUAUGGUCCGUUGCGUGCAUAUUCGUACACUGCAUGCAUAGUAAAUGGUGUCCGAUUUGUCAUGAAUAGUCGUGAUCUCCGACGCACUACUCAAAAUAGUGGUGUUGUUACAUUCGGAGAAGACGGUACACCAUUUUAUGGUCAAUUAGAGGAGAUCAUAGAGUUACAUCCUUUAUAUGAUAAAUCAGUUGUACUCUUUCAUGGUAAAUGGUUCAAUGCCUCAUUACGUAAUGGACGCUUAAAGACUAUAAAUAAUAUGAUUCUUAUCGAUACCAGUCAUGAAUGGUAUGUCAGUAAAACGUGGUUUGAUGAUCAACAAUACAUCUUAGCCACACAAGCUAAACAAGUAUUUUAUCUCCAAGAUCCCACUCAAAACAAUAACUGGAGAGUUGUGGAAGAGGUUCAUCAUCGAAAACUUUGGAAUCAUCCAAGUAUCGGUGUUGUGAAUGAGAUAGAUGUUGUGAACAACACUCAAUCAACUGAUUUUACCUUGGUUGUUGACUUAGGCACCUUACCUAUGCAGACGACUUUAGGUGAAGUUGGUGAAUCAAGUGUGGUUGCUAGGAGGAAUGUUGCUCCUAAUAUAAACGAUGACGAUUUCAUUAACGAUGAAAAUGACAAUGAUGAUACGUACUCUUCAGAUGAAGAAAUAAAUAAUGAAAACUAUGACAGUGAUGAUGAUGUUGUACAUGUAUAUUGUUCUAGUGAUGAAUCUGAUUGAUGGUAUGUUAUUGUUAUUAUAUCUCCUGAUUGCUUAUAAUAUUUGUUAAAUUUUGAAAUGUUGCUUAUUUCUAGUUUUAUUAUAUAUUCUGAAUGUUUAUAAUAUUUGUUAAACAGAUGGCAGAAGUCGCGAGGGGACAUAGAGGAGACGGUGGGGAUAGACCUCCACACGGGAUUGCACGCGGUGUACCAUCGGAUUGCCAAUCUUGUAAGUUAUAUGAAAUUUUUAAUUAUUAGAUAUAUUAAUGUUUUAAAUUUCUAAAUUUCCAAUUGUAUAUGUAAAUAUAGCACAAGCGAAGAAUGUGAAUGUGCGUGGCAAAGGGAGAAACUUAAAUUUGUACGAUGAGUAUGAAAAAAACAAGUGUAAGCCUUUGGAAUUGCUAAUUGAUAUCUCCGGGCGGACGUAUCGAGUUAUAGGGGACAACGGGCAACUGUUUGUCAGACUGAUCUCAAAUCUGGUGGGAUCAAAGGUACCGUUGCAUUAUCAUACUUGGCGUCGUGUUCCUGCCAAGUACAAAGUUGAUUUAUAUCCCGAGCUAGAGGUAAAUAUAUAAUACAUUUUAUAUGUAUUGAAUUUUACACUUAUUAAAUAUUUUUUUACUAAUCAAAUAUGUUUUUCCUUUUGCAGACUUAUUUUGAUAUUGAUAGGUAUCGGGGCACAAACUUGUGGGAACCCCUUCGAGCGGGUAUCCAAGCAGAUAUGCAAAGAGCUUAUCGAGAGCGCAAGUAUCAGAUAAAAAAACAUUUUGAUAGAGUUGGUGGAUAUCGUAAUGUGGAAAGGGCAAGAAGACGUCCACCGGAUGAUUGGACCGCCAAAGCUUGGAACGAUAUGAUUGAUUUGUUGUUUUUGACCGAGGAAUACAGACGCACGUCGGAAAAAAAUAAAGUUACUAGGUCGAAACUUCCACACACAAGUGCUCACGGAUGUAGACCGUAUGCUCAACGACGUUAUUUAGAGGUAAUAAAAUACAUUAGUAUUAUUUAAAAUUGUUAUUAACAUUUGUACAAAUACAUUUAUUGUUUUUUCACUUAUUAUAGGAACAAAUGGGAAUCAAGCCGCAACAUAUUGAGGGUUGGAGACAAAUGCGCUACAAAGAAGGUUCGGGUUGGUGUACAAGUCGAGUAGAAGAAGACUGGAUAAGUGAUAAACGAAAUGAAUAUGGUGUUUAAAUAUAUUAUUAUUAAUUAUAGUUUCUUGUUUAAGGAAUAUUAUUAUUUUUUGAAUGUUUAAGUUUAGUUGUUUGUUUUAAUUAACGUAUGUUAAUUGUUUUCUUUAUUUUAGGAGAAAAUUCAAAAUGAAUAUGAGAAAAUGCAAAACGAGGUUGGGGAAGGAGGAGAAGUAAACGAGGAAGAAUGUUUAGAACGUGCCCUUGGGACGAGACGUGGACAUGCUCGCGGGGUGGGUAGGAGACCAACCGCCAACUUCGGUUUAAUUCCAAAUGAACGGCCUUCCACUUCCAAAUCGUCUCAAUCUCAACCCCAAUCUCAAUCCCAAUUCGAUGCACAACAAAUGCAAGAAUAUUUGCAACAAUAUAAUGCGUCAUUGGUGGCUUGUAUUCCGAACUUCCAACCACCACCAUUUCCUAACUUUCUAUUAAACUAUAACACACAAGCAAGUAGCUCUCAACAAUUUUCCGAAAGGAUGGAAGGAGAAGAAGAAGGAGAAGAAGAAGAAGGAGAAGACUACUUAUUGUUAGUUAACUACUUAUUGUAAUAUUAAACUUGAACAAUGUUAGUUAACUACUUAUUGUAAUAUUAAACUUGAAUUUGAUGUUUUGAAUUUGAACAAUGGUACCUAGUUAAUGUAUUUCAAUUGAUAUAUGUUGCAAUGUUUUUUGGAUUUGUUAAAAAUGCAGGAAUGGUAAUGUACAAAACCUAUAAAGCUAAAAAAACAACCAGUAGCUAUCCCGACAACUAGUCGUCACUAUAGGUCCAUAACCGUUAACUGAUAAAACCCUUUAGCGACGACAAGGCAUCGUAAUAGCCUCAACUUGUCCCGACGACUUGUCGUCACCAUAGCUAUCCCGACG
rnacentral:lncRNA from 1 species